UUUUUAUGGUCCCUGGAGUCUUGUAUUGGUGUCUGUACUUUUAAAGAGGAAAACCUCUCUUCCCUUUGCAGACUGCUUUGGGCAGAGGAAGAUAUACUCUUGUUGUUUCUCCAGGCUGAUGGAAUUAUCUCCAGACUUGCAGUCAAGCUAGACUGGGGCCUGGCCACAUGGCUGUUGCUGGGUCUACAGUGGUUUGUAUGACACAGCAGGUACAUACAUGCCCAUAGCUUGGAAAGGGGCAGUAGAAUAAGGACAAAAAAAUUGUUAUCAGAGUGUCCAAGAAUUGUGAAUUUGGAUUUGAUUUAGCUAUUCAACCUAUUGUCUUUUCUAUUUAUAGGCGAAUAUUUGAACAGCUGGCAUUGCCCUGAUUUGUGUGUCAUUGUAUCAAGUUUGCUUCACCAGCCAGUCUCUGUUUUGGAAAUGCACACCCUCAGACACAAACCAGCUGUGUAAGUGAAUCCUGCAGGAAACCAGUAUGAGCAAACAAAGGGCUCUAAUAAUAAGACGGUUUUCUGUGCUCUCCACUGUCCUCAGUUCACUUGUAAGUCCUAAACAAAUGACCAAUACUGAUUUGUUGAUUCUUUGAAGAACUAUGAAGAAACAAAACAAAACUGACAAAAGCUUUUAAAUCCCAUGAAAUCUACUGUCACUGGCAUAAAAAAUGUGUUACAUAUUUGGGAACAUAACAUGACAGUAUCUGAUAAAGUGAAGAUGUGCAUGCUUGUGACUAAGCUAUGAUGCCAUGUAAGGGUGUCUUCCGGAGGGAAACUGACAUGUGUUCUGGAAGGGGGAUGCAAAGCGAUUCAAGCGAUUCGAGGCAGCCUCGUUUUUAAUAGCAAAAUAAUAGACUUAACCUAAGUGACCAG